UACCGGCGGCUCGAGUGGUGGCCACUAUUACUGGGCUUAAAGCGUCCGUAGCUGGAUUGUUAAGUCUCCUGGGAAAUCUACCGGCUUAACCGAUAGGCGUUCAGGGGAUACUGGCAAUCUAGGGACCGGAAGAGGUGAGAGGUACUCCAGGGGUAGGAGUGAAAUCCUGUAAUCCUUGGGGGACCACCUGUGGCGAAGGCGUCUCACCAGGACGGCUCCGACAGUGAGGGACGAAAGCUGGGGGAGCAAACCGG
rnacentral:rRNA from 1 species